rnacentral:rRNA from 1 species
UACGUAGGGGGGCGAGCGUUGUCCGGAUUUAUUGGGCGUAAAGAGCGUGUAGGCGGCCAGGUAGGUCUGCUGUGAAAACUCGAGGCUUAACCUCGAGCUGUCGGCGGAAACCAUCUGGCUAGAGUCCGGAAGAGGAGAAUGGAAUUCCCCGGUGUAGCGGUGAAAUGCGCAGAUAUCGGGAAGAACACCCGUGGCGAAGGCGGUUCUCUGGGACGGUACUGACGCUGAGACGCGAAAGCGUGGGGAGCGAACAGG